UACGUAGGGUGCAAGCGUUAAUCGGAAUUACUGGGCGUAAAGCGUGCGCAGGCGGUUUUGUAAGUCUGUUGUGAAAUCCCCGGGCUCAACCUGGGAAUGGCAAUGGAGACUGCAAGGCUAGAGUUUGGCAGAGGGGGGUAGGAAUUCCACGUGUAGCAGUGAAAUGCGUAGAUAUGUGGAGGAACACCGAUGGCGAAGGCAGCCCCUGGGUCAAAACUGACGCUCAUGCACGAAAGCGUGGGGAGCAAACAGGAUUAGAUACCCGGGUAGU
rnacentral:rRNA from 1 species